GGAUUGUGGCUCAGUGGUAGAGCACUCACCUAGCAUAGGGGGGACCUGAGUUCUAUUCUCAGCACCA
rnacentral:tRNA from 1 species